ensembl:lncRNA
AAGGAAUAAGUCAAAGGUUCAGUACCUCUUUCAUAACAUUUCUCUCAGUGCAAACAUCUAAUAAUGAUCGUCAUAAUUAUCAGGAAAACAGCUCACAAUUCUUCAGACUGUGAACUCUCCAACUCUCCACUCUCAAGGCAGAAAGACCAGAGAAAAAAGAAUUCCAGUGAUAUCACCUGGACAACAGAUGGACUACAGACAACAUUACUUGGUCUCACCUAGACACAGAGAAGUCUCAGGCAUAUGAAAUUGGCAUUGUAUCUCCUCUGCAGAAGGAAUACUUUGAUAUUUACUUUUUCUGUCCAACAGAUUUCUCCAGCUACUCAGCAGUUUGGCACUGAGAAAGUACAAGACAAGAGAUGACCUGAAAUGUUAAGCUGUAAGAGGAAGCUACAGAAAGAGGAUAUGCAAUACAAAAACAGCAUGAGGAAGCUUCAAGUGGAAUGAAAACUACAUUCAGGUCUCUGAUCAUUUCAGCAGUGACUUAAGUUUUGCAUUAGGAUUUCUAAUACAUGCUCUGCAGCUGAUCUUUUAGAGAAUUUUGGCAAAAAAAAAAAAAAAGUGAGAAGUUUAGACAGGGUUGGGUUGUACUUUCUUUUGGAACUCUUAAAGAAUUGUAUGAUUCACUACCCUCACAUAAUAAUACUGAGCCAGAGUCACAGUUAUAAUCUUCAGUUUGUUUAUGUAUCCUUUUCUGAAAUACAUGAUUGGCAUAACUAGGAAAUAGGCCCAUGAGAUCAAAUUAUUCUUCAUUUCAGAGUUUCAGACUGUGAGCAAAAAUUUAUUCAGUGAAUGUAAUAUAUUUUCCUAGUUAACAUACCAUUUCCAGCCAACCGAAAGAGAUGGAGAUUGGUGUCACUCAGUAAAUAGCAGUUCAUCUCUUCAUAGUGCUUAUUAAGAUAUGACAUAUGACUGGAAAUGAUCUGGGCAAACUAGCUCAAUCUCCUGCUAUUCUCUAAUUCUUUUCACAAACUUUUUUAGAUCCUUCUUACAAACUAUCAGAUAUUUUUCUCUCUAAGCCCUAUGGGAGUUUGUUCCACACUUCAACUCUUCUAAUAGUUAGAAAUCUUCUAAUUUCCAGUCUAAAUUUAUUCAUAGCCUUUUACUAACAUUGUCCUUUAGCUUAAAUAGCUUUUCUCCUCCUGGGCAUUUUCCUGUCCAUCUCACUCCUGAGGUAUUUAUAGACAGCUGUCAUGUCUAUUCCCAUUAUUUGUUUGAGUAUUUGCAUUUUUUUUAUUAUGCUGUAAAUCACAUAGUGAUACUGCUAUUCCCUUCCUAAAUGUAGGAGGAGGGCUUCUUGAACCAGUUAAAAAUUUUUAUAUUGAUGCUUGGGGAAUGAUCCUGUAGGCAAAUAUCUAUUUGCAUGAAGUGCUUUGAGACUGAAUUCUGUGUUAUUCAUUUUAUAGAUUUUGCUCUUAUCAGCAGCUCCUUCAUACCUAGAAUGAGGUACCUGCUCUGUUGCAACAGCACCUGGAAUUCAAAAUCACCUUGUAGCAGCCAGCCCACCUUGGCAUCUUUCUUUGCUGACAAAGAAGUAACGUGGAGGGGAGAGAAGAGAAUAGAUAAAGGAUAAUAUUUCCUGGGUGUUAAAUACUUUUCAUCGGGAUGAUCAACUUCAGUGCUUUUUAGUGACUUUUAAUCCUUUUAACUCUUUUCUGAGCAUCUGUUUCCCUACUAUGCAGUUCAAUGCUGUCUGUAAAAAGUGAUUUGAUUGAUGUGUAAUGAAAUCUUACCUAAAUACUUAAGUAAAGUAUUGAUUGAACAAUUAUACUUCAUUUAUACUGAAGUGUUAUUUCUUCCUUCGUUCAGUUCUCUGUUCCUUGAUCUGAGAUUCUAUAGAUCCUUGUUAUGACUCUAUUUAUAAGAACUGACACCUUUAGGCUGUAAAUCAAUUUUCCAUUUUCAUUGUAUUGGAGAAAUUGCUUUUCAGUAUGAUUCUGCUCCUUCAAAGGACAGGUUCAGUGCAUCACUUAUACUUGAUUGAUCCACUACGUUUACUUUUGAAGAACUUGGCAAGGUUCACAGGUGGAGUACUCUGACAUAUUCCUAUUGCUAAAAAAGCUAAUUUAAUAUUAAUGUUGAACUUUCUCACCUAGAACUGAAUGGACAGCUAUCAGGUUGGUUUGUGUGAUAGUGGAAUCAUUUCCCUGUUCAAUACCAUGUAGUUCUUGUACAUCCUAGUUUAUACUGUUUUUUCAAUUGUUAUUACUUUUUAUUCCCACUCUCUAAAACAAUCGGGACCAGCCACCAUCCUGCAGCCAGUUGAAGGAACAUUUCUAUUGCAGAUUAAAUAAAGAAUAUGAAUAAGCACAUUUGUUAAAGGAAAAGUCACAGUCACCUGGCUAUUGAAACAAAUGAAGGAUGUAUUUUUAAAUUGUACAUUCAUCUGGCUGGUUUAGGUAGUGCAUAUCUGUCCCGAGUCUCAACUUCAUCAAAGUUCUAAUGGAGCACUAGAAUUUGUUUAUGCUGUUCUAUGUACUUAACUUGACAACUUUGUUUUCAUCCUGUUAACUUUAAUUACUUAUUUUGAAGUCAACAGAUAUGUUAAAAAAAAAUCUAUCAAAACCAAAUAAGCUAAGAAGCAAACAAACAAACAAACAAAAAAACCCACUUUAUCUGGUUUUGAACAUUUUAUUUACUGAAUAUUUUCUUGAGUAUAAAAUUUAAAAAUGCAUCUUUCAUUUGUUUCAUUUUUACAACAUAAGAAUAAAAAUGGAAAAGUUUUACAACUAUGUGUACAUUUUUUCUUCGUUAAUAGUUUGUGACAUUCUUUUUAAUUACAAAGCUUAGCUGGCCUAGUGUGUGUGUUAUUUAUCAUCUUUGAAACAGUAAUACUUUAAUUAGGACACUAUGAGAUUUCUUCAUUUAUACUGAGAAUAUUUCUUCACAAGUUGAAUUUAUGAGUUUGGCAUCCUGUACUACACUACAUUAAUGAUGGCAUGAAAGGUGUGAAUAAACAUUGAGAUGCUUGGAUCUAAGAAUUCAGCUUCAGGUAAUUAAUUUUGAAAUUCUAUAAAC